AGUCAUUGUCGUUAUCGUUCGUAUGUCUCAAAAGGAAAAACGCUACAAAACAGAAUCAAACUACAAAUGACGAUGGAGAUUACGAAAUUAGAGAUGUUAACCCUAAUGACGCUGGUGUCAACACAAAUAACAAUGUUAACCCGUAUAAUACUGACGACAAUGUUGGCAACACUUACGAACAUCUACAACACAACACUGUACAGUAUAUUAACACGUCGAGUGUUGAUGAAGACCACGUGUACCUCCACGUCAAUGAACCAACACAAGGAAUACCUGACGACGCACAGACGACAGAUUAUUAUAAUAGUGUCAAACAAGACUGAAUCGUCUAUUUAUUACUCCAGCGGUUAUUCAUAACGGAACCGACCUCAGUGGUUUCGUGGUUAAGCCAUCGGUCAUAAGGCUGGUAGGUACUGGGAUUGCAGCCCGGUGUACCCAGAUCGAGUUUAACGACGCGAUGGGUAGGUGUAAGACCACCACACCAACUUCUCUCUCACUAAACAUUAACAACUAACCCACUGUCCUGGACAGACAGUCCAGAUAGCCGAGGUGUGUGCCCAGGACAGCGUACUUGAAACUUAACUGGAUAUAAGCACGAAUAUAAGUAUAAAUUAAUGAAUGAAUGAAUUAUAACAGGGAAAAUAUUUCGCUUAUCUUGCACUAACUAUGAUGUCAUCACGAUUAUUAUAAGUGUCAGUCAAGACUGAAUUGUACAUUUCGAACACACGCCCACACAUACUGUAAACGAAAGAAUAAAUAUAUCAGUGUU